AUUGAACGCUGGCAGCAGGCCUAACACCUGCAAGUCGAACGAGCGGCGGACGGGUGAGUAAUGUCUGGGAAACUGCCUGAUGGAGGGGGAUAACUACUGGAAACGGUAGCUAAUACCGCAUACCAUCAGCUGUGCCCAGAUGGGAUUAGCUAGUAGGUGGGGUAACGGCUCACCUAGGCGACGAUCCCUAGCUGGUCUGGGAGGAUGACCAGCCACACUGGAACUGAGACACGGUCCAGAAUCGUACGGGAGGCAGCAGUGGGGAAUAUGGCAAAAUGGGCGCAAGCCGGAUGCAGACAUGCAGCGUGUGUGAAGAAGGCCUUCGGGUUGUAAAGCACUUUCAGCGGGGAGGCGUGACCCGCAGAAGAAGCACCGGCUAACUCCGUGCCAGCAGCCGCGGUAAUUC
rnacentral:rRNA from 1 species